rnacentral:rRNA from 1 species
UACGUAGGGAGCAAGCGUUGUCCGGAAUCAUUGGGCGUAAAGCGCGCGUAGGUGGCCUCAUAAGUCCGCUGUGAAAGUCAAAGGCUCAACCUUUGAAAGCCGGUGGAUACUGUCGGACUAGAGUGCGGAAGAGGCGAGUGGAAUUCCUGGUGUAGCGGUGAAAUGCGCAGAUAUCAGGAGGAACACCAUUGCGAAGGCAGCUCGCUGGGACGUUACUGACGCUCAGGCGCGAAAGCGUGGGGAGCGAUCCGG